rnacentral:misc_RNA from 1 species
GAUGAAGAACGCAGCGAAAUGCGAUAAGUAAUGCGAAUUGCAGAAUCCGUGAGUCAUCGAAUCUUUGAACGCACAUUGCGCCCGCUGGUAUUCCGGCGGGCAUGCCUGUUCGAGCGUCAUUUCAACCCUCAAGCCCCCGGGUUUGGUGUUGGGGAUCGGCUCUGCCCUUCUGGGCGGUGCCGCCCCCGAAAUACAUUGGCGGUCUCGCUGCAGCCUCCAUUGCGUAGUAGCUAACACCUCGCAACUGGAACGCGGCGCGGCCAUGCCGUAAAACCCCAACUUCUGAAUGUUGACCUCGGAUCAGGUAGGAAUACCCGCUGAACUUAAGCAUAUCAAUAAGCGGAGGA